rnacentral:rRNA from 1 species
AUUGAACGCUGGCGGCAGGCCUAACACAUGCAAGUCGAGCGGAUGAAGGGAGCUUGCUCCUGGAUUCAGCGGCGGACGGGUGAGUAAUGCCUAGGAAUCUGCCUGGUAGUGGGGGAUAACGUCCGGAAACGGGCGCUAAUACCGCAUACGUCCUGAGGGAGAAAGUGGGGGAUCUUCGGACCUCACGCUAUCAGAUGAGCCUAGGUCGGAUUAGCUAGUUGGUGGGGUAAAGGCCUACCAAGGCGACGAUCCGUAACUGGUCUGAGAGGAUGAUCAGUCACACUGGAACUGAGACACGGUCCAGACUCCUACGGGAGGCAGCAGUGGGGAAUUUUGGACAAUGGGCGAAAGCCUGAUCCAGCCAUGCCGCGUGUGUGAAGAAGGUCUUCGGAUUGUAAAGCACUUUAAGUUGGGAGGAAGAGCAGUAAGUUAAUACCUUACUGUUUUGACGUUACCAACAGAAUAAGCACCGGCUAACUUCGUG